rnacentral:rRNA from 1 species
GAUGAACGCUAGCUACAGGCUUAACACAUGCAAGUCGAGGGGAAACGACAUCGAAAGCUUGCUUUUGAUGGGCGUCGACCGGCGCACGGGUGAGUAACGCGUAUCCAACCUGCCCACCACUUGGGGAUAACCUUGCGAAAGUAAGACUAAUACCCAAUGAUAUCUCUAGAAGACAUCUGAAAGAGAUUAAAGAUUUAUCGGUGAUGGAUGAGGAUGCGUCUGAUUAGCUUGUUGGCGGGGUAACGGCCCACCAAGGCGACGAUCAGUAGGGGUUCUGAGCGGAACGUCGCUCAUAUGGGAACUUGGACGGGGUCCAAAGGACUACGGGACGGAGCAGUGAGGUACAGUAGGCAACGGACGGGAGUCUUAACCAGUCAAGGAGCGUGCAGGAAGGCGGCCCUAUGGGUUGUAAACUGCUUUUAUAAGUGAAUAAAGCGAGUCCCGUGAGACUUUUUGAAUGUACCUGAUGAAUAAGGACCGGCUAACUCCGUG